GAUGAACGCUGGCGGCGUGCCUAACACAUGCAAGUCGAGCGAUUUACUUCGGUAAAGAGCGGCGGACGGGUGAGUAACGCGUGGGUAACCUGCCUCAUACACAUGGAUAACAUACCGAAAGGUAUGCUAAUACAAGAUGAUAUAAGAGAUUCGCAUGGAUUUCUUAUCAAAGCUCCGGCGGUAUGAGAUGGACCCGCGUCUGAUUAGCUAGUUGGUAAGGUAACGGCUUACCAAGGCGACGAUCAGUAGCCGACCUGAGAGGGUGAUCGGCCACAUUGGAACUGAGACACGGUCCAAACUCCUGCGGGAGGCAGCAGUGGGGAAUAUUGCACAAUGGGCGAAAGCCUGAUGCAGCAACGCCGCGUGAGUGAUGAAGGCCUUCGGGUCGUAAAGCUCUGUCCUCAAGGAAGAUAAUGACGGUACUUGAGGAGGAAGCCCCGGCUAACUACGUGCCAGCCGCCGCAGUAACAC
rnacentral:rRNA from 1 species